UACGGAGGGGGCGAGCGUUAUUCGGAAUUAUUGGGCGUAAAGGGCGCGUAGGCGGCCCUGUAAGUCAAAGGUGAAAUCCCUCGGCUCAACUGAGGAACUGCCUUUGAAACUGCAGGCUUGAGGCCGGGAGGGGUAGGCGGAAUUCCCAAUGUAGCGGUGAAAUGCGUAGAUAUUGGGAGGAACACCGGUGGCGAAGGCGGUGGUCUGGGCCUGAACUGACGCGUGAGGAGCGAAAGCCAGGGGAGCAA
rnacentral:rRNA from 1 species